GGCCCCCCUUCCCUCUGUACAGGGGAGCUGUUUUCUUCUUUUUUGCCUAUUACACUUUCUGCUCCUUAAAUCCACUCCACCUGUGUCUGUGUCACUAAUUUUCUCGGUGCAAGACCAAGGACCCUGGGUGUUUCUCCAGACAAUGGAGCCAUGUCAUGUUGGUGCAUUGGCUGGGAAUCCAAGGUACAACAUUCAUUGGAGCGAAGCAAUCAAACUCCAAAUGGUGUUGCAGACAGAACCUCACAUGGACACGCCAUUCUUCUGAGAACCCUUACAUCAACCUCAGGAGGAGGCCCAACUGCUGUCCCUCACAGGAUGCCCCUUUUUCAGCAGGAAGUAGCCAGAAAGAAUUGUCAUCCAACACCCCCUAACAGCAGUUAGAUUUACUUCCCCAGAUGGUGGAAAUAGUAUGGGAGUUAUUUAGAAAUAAUUUUUAGGCAGCCAGAAAGGGUGAAAGUUCUCAGUGGAAUUUUCCUUUAAUGAAAAGCAACCCCAAAAGCAUUUUUUUUCUAACAGAAAGCGACUUAAAAAACCAGACUAGCAAACACUGAUAUGCAAAUGCUGGCGGCUAGAAGCCAGGUACAUUCAACAUGGUGUCUCCUGCCCUCUUUAUCUUGUCACCAUGUGUGCCAGGUGUCAUGGCAACCUCCAGAUAAAGCCACGUGUGCAGGACAUCAUGGCAAACCGCAUUUGCAUAUGAAAGGCUAGGGUGGCAGGGCCAGUUUUUUCACGGGCUACCUGAAUGACACACCUGGUCAAACCAAUCCCCUGGGCCCUAUGCAAAUCAGACACUGCCUCCUCCAGCCUCCCAAUAUAACUGACUGCUUUCCGCUGCACGUGGGGUUUUUCCGUUCGGAGCCCCCCUCCCUCUGUACAGGGGAGCAGUUUUCUUCUUUCUUGCCUAUUAAACUUUCCACUUCUUGAAACCACUCCAUGUGUGUCCAUGUCACUAAUUUUCUUGGUGAGAGACAAAGGACCCUGGAUGUUUCUCCAGACAACGGAGCCGUAUCACAUUCAGAUAGUUGGGGGUGGGAGAGGGG
rnacentral:lncRNA from 10 species